AGCCCCAUAGCUCAACGGAUAGAGCGUCUUCCUCCUAAGAAGAAGGUUCCGGUUUCGAUUACCGGUGGGGCUGC
rnacentral:tRNA from 1 species